rnacentral:rRNA from 1 species
GGAAUCGCUAGUAAUCGCAAAUCAGAAUGUUGCGGUGAAUACGUUCCCGGGCCUUGUACACACCGCCCGUCACACCAUGGGAGUGGGUUGUACCAGAAGUAGAUAGCUUAACCUUCGGGAGGGCGUUUACCACGGUAUGAUUCAUGACUGGGGUGAAGUCGUAACAAGGUAACCGUAGGGGAACCUGCGGUUGGAUCACCUCCUUACCUAAAA